AAUGAACGCUGGCGGCGCGCCUAAUACAUGCAAGUCGAGCGAGAAGACGUAGCAAUACGUUUGUAAAGCGGCGAACGGGUGAGGAAUACAUGGGUAACCUACCCUCGAGUGGGGAAUAACUAGCCGAAAGGUUAGCUAAUACCGCGUACGCUUCUUGGACUUCGGUUCAGGGAGGAAAGCGAUGCCGAGGGUAUCGCGCUCUUGGAUGGGCUCAUGUCCUAUCAGCUUGUUGGNGAGGUAACGGCUCACCAAGGCUUCGACGGGUAGCUGGUCUGAGAGGACGAUCAGCCACACUGGCACUGCGACACGGGCCAGACUCCUACGGGAGGCAGCAGUAAGGAAUAUUGCGCAAUGGGCGAAAGCCUGACGCAGCGACGCCGCGUGAGGGGAUGAAGGUCUUCGGAUUGUAAACCUCUGUCACCGGGGACGAAAGCCUUGAAUAAAUAAUUCAAGCCUGACUUAACCCGGAGAGGAAGCAGUGGCUAACUCUGUGCCAGC
rnacentral:rRNA from 1 species